UAUCAGGCUGAGAAGAGGAUUAGUACGGUCAGCGCACGUCAAAGAGAGAGGAUCAUUGGUGAGAGAUCCUUACGCAGCAGAGCGGAACCUGCCUUGGAGCUUCCUGUGAAAGCAGGCGCAGCCCGGCGUUAUGGGUAAAAAAGCAGAGUGUCAGACACUAAGUGGGGUGGUACCGCCGGAAUUCCGGUCCCUAUG
rnacentral:ncRNA from 1 species